rnacentral:sRNA from 1 species
UAUUAAUUGCUAAUAAUACGAAGGGUGAAAUCGUCAAUACAACAGAGAAAGAAGUACCUAAUUGCAUAGACACAUGAUUUUGUGCCUAUAUCAACAAUGACAUGACUUUUAAGUGCUUUAUUCAUAAUUGAUCCAUAAAAAGAACCCAAGCAACAAAGUUUGUGAAUUUUGUGAAUGAAUGGUUCUAUUUUUUGGAUAAUGAAAAUUAGUAGAAGAUGAGUUUUGGAAGAAACAGAGACGCUGCUCUCACGUCGAGAUGUUGUUGGCUGUUGUCGCUUCUCUCUCGUCUUUGAGCACCGCAUAUCUGUGCUACAUUGCUCACGGAUGGUUCUCGAGAUGAUGGAGUAAGAGUAGAAGCGUCAUUUCAAAUAAGCAAAAGUGCUUGAUUUCGUAAACACUUAUAAAAAUAUUGGAUCUU